rnacentral:rRNA from 1 species
CCUACGGGGGGCAGCAGUGAGGAAUAUUGGUCAAUGGUCGCGAGUCUGAACCAGCCAAGCCGCGUGAGGGAGGAAGGUUCUGUGUAUUGUAAACUUCUUUUGUCAGGGGACAAAGACUGAUACGCGUCCCUGUCUGAAUGUACCGUAAGAAUAAGCAUCGGCUAACUCCGUGCCAGCGGCCGCGGUAAUACGGAGGAUGCGAGCGUUAUCCGGAUUUAUUGGGUUUAAAGGGUGCGUAGGCGGUCGGUUAAGUAAGCGGUAAAAUGUCGGGGCUCAACUCCGGCCUGGCGCUGAUACUGGUGGCCUAGAGUGUGAGAGAAGUAGGCGGAAGGCGUGGUGUAGCGGUGAAAGGCAUAGAGAUCACGCAGAACACCGAUUGCGAAGGCAGCAUACC